ACCGCAUGGUUCAAAAGUGAAAGACGGUCUUGCUGUCACUUAUAGAUGGAUUCGCGCUGCAUUAGCUAGUUGGUAAGGUAACGGCUUACCAAGGCAACGAUGCAUAGCCGACCUGAGAGGGUGAUCGGCCACACUGGAACUGAGACACGGUCCAGACUCCUACGGGAGGCAGCAGUAGGGAAUCUUCCGCAAUGGGCGAAAGCCUGACGGAGCAACGCCGCGUGAGUGAUGAAGGUCUUCGGAUCGUAAAACUCUGUUAUUAGGGAAGAACAUAUGUGUAAGUAACUGUGCACAUCUUGACGGUACCUAAUCAGAAAGCCACGGCUAACUACGUGCCAGCAGCCGCGGUAAUACGUAGGUGGCAAGCGUUAUCCGGAAUUAUUGGGCGUAAAGCGCGCGUAGGCGGUUUUUUAAGUCUGAUGUGAAAGCCCACGGCUCAACCGUGGAGGGUCAUUGGAAACUGGAAAACUUGAGUGCAGAAGAGGAAAGUGGAAUUCCAUGUGUAGCGGUGAAAUGCGCAGAGAUAUGGAGGAACACCAGUGGCGAAGGCGACUUUCUGGUCUGUAACUGACGCUGAUGUGCGAAAGCGUGGGGAUCAAACAGGAUUAGAUACCCUGGUAGUCCACGCCGUAAACGAUGAGUGCUAAGUGUUAGGGGGUUUCCGCCCCUUAGUGCUGCAGCUAACGCAUUAAGCACUCCGCCUGGGGAGUACGACCGCAA
rnacentral:rRNA from 1 species